rnacentral:rRNA from 1 species
UGUCCUACGGGGGGCAGCAGUGAGGAAUAUUGGUCAAUGGCCGAGAGGCUGAACCAGCCAAGUCGCGUGAGGGAAGAAUGUCCUAUGGAUUGUAAACCUCUUUUGUCAGGGAGCAAAGUCACCCACGUGUGGGUGUUGGAGAGUACCUGAAGAAAAAGCAUCGGCUAACUCCGUGCCAGCAGCCGCGGUAAUACGGAGGAUCCGAGCGUUAUCCGGAUUUAUUGGGUUUAAAGGGAGCGUAGGUGGAUUGUUAAGUCAGUUGUGAAAGUUUGCGGCUCAACCGUAAAAUUGCAGUUGAAACUGGC